rfam:Brachypodium distachyon strain Bd21 chromosome 1, whole genome shotgun sequence.
CAAUUACUACCUCCGUUUCAUAAUUCUUGUCAAAAUAUUACAUGUAUCUAAACGCUUUUUAGCAAUAGAUACAUCCAUAUUUGGGCAAAUUUGAGACAAGAAUUAUGAAACGGAGGGAGGAACAA